rnacentral:misc_RNA from 1 species
GAUGAAGAACGUAGCGAAAUGCGAUACUUGGUGUGAAUUGCAGAAUCCCGUGAACCAUCGAGUCUUUGAACGCAAGUUGCGCCCGAAGCCACUAGGCCGAGGGCACGCCUGCCUGGGCGUCACACGUCGUUGCCCCCCCCCCAUCUACUCCUUCGGGAUUGCGGGGGGCGGAUGCUGGCCUCCCGUGCGCCUAGCCGCGCGGUUGGCAUAAAUACCAAGUCCUCGGCGACGCACGCCACGACAAUCGGUGGUUGCGAAACCUCGGUUGCCCGUCGUGUGCGUUCGUCGCGCAUCGAGGGCUCGAAAAAAUGCUCGGCUCCGGCUCGGCUUUCAACGCGACCCCAGGUCAGGCGGGGUUACCCGCUGAAUUUAAGCAUAUCAAUAAGCGGAGGA